rnacentral:rRNA from 1 species
CCUACGGGAGGCAGCAGUGGGGAAUAUUGGGCAAUGGGCGCAAGCCUGACCCAGCAACGCCGCGUGAAGGAAGAAGGCUUUCGGGUUGUAAACUUCUUUUCUGAGGGACGAAGAAAGUGACGGUACCUCAGGAAUAAGCCACGGCUAACUACGUGCCAGCAGCCGCGGUUAUACGUAGGUGGCAAGCUGUAUCCGGAUUUAUUGGGUGUAAAGGGCGUGUAGGCGGGAAAGCAAGUCAGCUGUGAAAACUCAGGGCUCAACCCUGAGCCUGCAUUUGAAACUGUUUUUCGUGAGUGCUGGAGAGGCAAUCGGAAUUCCGUGUGUAGCGGUGAAAUGCGUAGAUAUACGGAGGAACACCAGUGGCGAAGGCGGAUUGCUGGACAGUAACUGACGCUGAGGCGCGAAAGCGUGGGGAGCAAACAGGAUUAGAUACCCGAGUAGUC